rnacentral:lncRNA from 1 species
UUCGGUCCGAAAGAAUUGGUAUUCUUAAGAAACCUCAUCGUACCUGCCAGUACGGUAUGGAUAAAGUCCACCUCACUUAGGAUAUUUUUCAGGAGAUGGGAAAUCAUCCGGCGAUUGCAUUUAUAAAGUAGGUUCAGUAGAGCUCCGCUUGUCAGCAAUUCUGACUACUUCCACCUGGACUUUCAAGUCAGCAAAGCCUAGCUCGAAGUUGAAUCUGCCCGAAUAGCACCUGCCCAACAAGGACUUCGAUGGGAAAGAGCCUUGGAAACUCAAGAACAAGGUAAGACAGAGAAGAAAGCUAGUACCAAGUUCGGAAAGAGACCC